AUGGCAGUUACCGCAGGCCAUGGAGAAGCGGGCAUAGCUGGAAGCACAUCUGGGGCAGGUAAUGGAGUCAGUUGGACAACUACAAAUGGAGAAAGAGACGUAUGCUGGAAAUCUGAAAGGAGGGGGUGCCAUGUGGCGGCAGAGGAUGCAGUAGAUGUCAGAGCAGGGCCCUCCAAGGUGGAGCAGCAGCUACAAGCAGAGGCUGACCACCUGCAGAAGGAACUGGAGAGUCUGGCAGCUCCAAGCCCAGGAGCAAGACACUGAGGGCUUCAGUCAUCCAAACCAGGAGUGGAGGAGAGGCUGCUGGAGCUGCAGCAAGUGGCCAAGUUCUUGGGGGAGCAGGCAGAGUCGCACAGACAAAUCUUGGAGACCAUGCAGAAUGACUGCACCACCAUCAGCCGUAUGCUCACCCAGAACCACGAGCUCAAGGAGCAGCUGUCUGAGCUGCGGAACGGACUCGUAAAGCUGACUAACGAGAACAUGGAGAUUACCAGUGCAAUGCAGUUGGAAUAGCACGUAAAGAGGGAGCUGGGAAAGAAGCUGGGCAAGCUAAAGGAGACGAUGGAGCUGAAGAGCCAGGAGGCUUAGUCUGCAGCAGCAGCAAGACCAGUACCUGAGUCACCUGCAGCAGUAUAUGGCCACCUGUCAGCAGCUGACCUCUGAGAAGGAAGGGCUGCACAACCAAUUACUGCUGUGGACCCAGCUUGCAGACCAGCUGCAGCAGCAGGAAGCUCAAAGCAAAGCAGUGGCCAAGAUGGCCUGCCAAGAGUUGUGGGAGAUCCAGGAGUGCCUGGAAGCUUUCAGCCAGCAGAACCAGCAGCCUCAGGCCCAGUUGAGCCUCAUGGCUCUACCUGGGGAAGGAGAUGGACUGGACAGUGAGGAGGAGGUGGAGGUGCCUCAGCCCAUGCCGAGCAUCCUGGAGGACCUAGAGAGCCAGAAGGCCAUGGGGGCAUUUUUCAACUCAGCUGUAGCUAGUGCCGAAGAGGAGCAGGCACGGCUACGUGGGCAGCUGAAGGAGUGCACUGCCAGCGCAUGGCUCAUCUGCUGGCCUUGGCCCAGAAGGAACCUGAGGUGGCAGCCCCAGCCCCAGGAACUGGGGGCGAUUCCAUGUGUGGGGAGACCCACUGGGCCCUGCAGGUGGCCAUGGAGAGGCUGUAGAGCCGCUUUAUGGAGCUCAUGCAGGAGAAGGUGGACUUGAAGGAGAGGGUGGAGGAACUGGAACAUUGCUUCAUCUAGCUGUCUGGAGAGAUAGACAUCACUGGGGAGUGGGAAGCCAGGGCACAGCAAGGAGAGCUGCACAUCGGUCAGAGGGGCCCCAGCGUCUGAGCCCUGUCCUCCGGUAGGAGAGUACAUCGCACUGUACCAGAGCCAGAGGGCAGUGCUGAAGGAGCAGCACCAGGAGUAGGAGUGCAUCAGCAGGCUGGCCCAGGACAAGGGAAGAGAUGAAGAUCUUUGUGAGGUGAGCCUUGCCAGCAGAGGGGAGCCUGUGCAAGGAGAGGCAGGGAAGGAUUCUCCCUGCGGCAAUCCCACUGAGCAGCAGAUCAUACAGCUGCUUUAUGAGAUGCAGAACCUCCAGGAGCACCCAAGCUUGGGCAGCAGCCUUUGCAUUCCUUUUUUGUACCAGACUGCUGAGAACGAUGAGGUGAAGAUCACCAUCAUCUAAAAGCCGGCCACUGUCAGCAAAAUCUGGAGAAGUGGGGCUGGAGGCUCUGCCUCUACUGUGUCCCUACCACCUCUUCCCAGUCAACCCUUUACCCUUACAGUAGCAAGCAUAAGACCCCUGUCUAAUGUGGAGAGACGGGUGGAAAUGAGGUGAAGAUCACCAUAAUCUAAAAGGCCACUAAAUAAAA